AUUGAACGCUGGCGGCAUGCCUUACACAUGCAAGUCGAACGGCAGUACGGGAGCAAUCCUGGUGGCGAGUGGCGAACGGGUGAGUAAUAUAUCGGAACGUGCCCGGUCGUGGGGGAUAACGUAGCGAAAGCUACGCUAAUACCGCAUACGAUCUACGGAUGAAAGCGGGGGAUCGCAAGACCUCGCGCGAUUGGAGCGGCCGAUAUCAGAUUAGGUAGUUGGUGAGGUAAAGGCUCACCAAGCCGACGAUCUGUAGCUGGUCUGAGAGGACGACCAGCCACACUGGGACUGAGACACGGCCCAGACUCCUACGGGAGGCAGCAGUGGGGAAUUUUGGACAAUGGGCGCAGACCUGAUCCAGCAAUGCCGCGUGCAGGAUGAAGGCC
rnacentral:rRNA from 1 species